GCUGUGGUCACACACUCUCAGUGGCUUCAGCUGAAGUACACACAACUAAGCCAAUAGCAUUUCAAUAUUGGCAGACUGUAAGUAGUGAUUGCAAUCAUAUUCAGUUAGGUAAUUACUACAGUUAAAUGCUACAACAGGACUUCGUGAGAUAAUGCUCACAAUUAAUUAACUUUCCAAUUUAGUUUAGCUCACAUAUACUUAGUGACUGCCCCAUGAAUCUGCUUUCUUCCACUGAAAUAAGUGAAGAGUUAAUUUUCAAGAGCUCCAACCACAGAUGUAAUCUUCACAGAGGCUUGCUGUUACACUUCUAAUUCUCCCAGGACACACACAAAAGGAGCUCUUUGGGGUCUGACAUAGUACUGAGAUGACUCAUGUAUCUUAGAGGAGAAGAAUGACAUUCACAUGCUACCUACAACUAUUUCCUUGACCCAGGUCAUUGAGAAGCUAGCUCUUGAGCUGGGGAAGACACCAAUCCUCACUUUAGACCCCAAGUGGGUUUGACUCAAAGUGUCCUUUAAGGUCUAGGGAUGGGUUAGUCCCCCUAACUCUGACAGGGAGGGAGAGAAAAAUAAAAGAGCCCAAAAGUAAAACAUGUGUCCUUGAGGACAGCUAAAAGGUCAACUAUUCCCAAGAGAGGUUAUUAUUGUUUAUCCCGUAAUAUGGAAGUGUCUGCAGACGAAGAGAGAAGCUGGAAACAGAACUCUGGAAAGCUGAGCCACUGAGACAGCUCAAUUGAGAACUGCAGCUGACUGCCUCAGUUUCCCCAGUUAGUUUCUGCUGGAUAUUGUGAACAACCUACUAGAUGACGCUACCUUUCUAUAUUUUAGCUGUUGUUACUUCGAAGCCUCACCCCAAGGGACAGUCUAUUCUGCCUGGGACUUGUACUGGGAACUCUAGUUGGCUGCAUUAAAGCUGCUUCCACAGUUGGUU